rnacentral:misc_RNA from 1 species
UCUGUCUACCAUCUCUUACCCAUGUCUUUUGCGUACUUAACGUUUCCUCGGCAGGUCCGCCUGCCGUAGGACAAUUAUAAACCAUUUGCAGUUGCAGUCAGCGUCUGAAAAACAUAAUAAUUACAACUUUUAACAACGGAUCUCUUGGUUCUGGCAUCGAUGAAGAACGCAGCGAAAUGCGAUAAGUAGUGUGAAUUGCAGAAUUCAGUGAAUCAUCGAAUCUUUGAACGCACAUUGCGCCCCUUGGUAUUCCAUGGGGCAUGCCUGUUCGAGCGUCAUUUGUACCCUCAAGCUCUGCUUGGUGUUGGGUGUUUGUCCCGCCUUUGUGCGCGGACUCGCCUUAAAGCAAUUGGCAGCCGGCGUAUAGAUUUCGGAGCGCAGCACAAUCCGCGCUUUGUACUCAUUACGACGACAUCCAUCAAGACAUUUUUUAACUCUUGACCUCGGAUCAGGUAGGGAUACCCGCUGAACUUAAGCAUAUCAAUAAGCGGAG